GGGGUUGAUCAGGUGGGUGAGGGGGGAGGUGCUUGUUGGUUAUUUGGGGUAGGAAACAGGUGUGUGGGGGGUGGGUGAAUAGAGCAGUGUAAUGGGUCAGUAUGUGCAGAAUAUUGGGGGACAGCAGAAUGAGUUGGGGGGAGGGGUUGAGUAGGAAGUGGGGAGCACAUGCAGGAUAUUACCCCCACAGGGAAGUGCUGGAUGUUGGUGAGACUAAUGGUCAGUAGAGAAGAGUUCAUGUGAAGGUGCUGACCCAAAUCAGGCCCAACAGAAACCCCACAGACAGAUGCAUUGUAGCCUGUACCCCAGGAAUGAAAUGAACUGGAGCAGCCGCUCACUUGGGAACCAUGAGACUGACGCUCUGUAGCUAGCCUGUGAUUGGACAAAGACAAGCUGUGUUCAGGGACUCGGGAUUCCACCAGGGCUUCAAUGGAGGUGGAACAGCAGCAGUUACACAAUGUGAGGAGACAAACAUAUUACAAACCAGUACCCCAAUGGGUCACCUCCCUCCCUUAUUCCUGCUUGUUACACCACUGAGGGACAGGGACUGUACCAGGCUGAGUAAGGCUGUGAUGGACAUUAAAGGACAAGGCAACUUUCAUUUGACUUCACUUGCCAAUGUGUUUGGACCCCCCAGUAAAUUUAAUCACCCUGGUAAGGUGCCCUGUGUUAGUUUCUACAGCAACCCUGCACUUCCAUCAUUCUCCCCCAGCUUUCCGUCGGCUAAACGGGACUCCCUGCUGCACUUGUGCCUGGGAAAGGAAAGAAAGAUGGCGGCACUGCUCCCCGGGCAGUUGCAUUUUGUAACAGAUGAUACAAGCCACUCAUUUGAGUGUGGGAAUGUUAUGGUAGCAGCCAGUGCAAGUGAGGGAAUACAGGGACAUGUAAGCUCUUCGUACAAGUUGAUCCAGGGACUGGUCCCAUUGCAUGUUGGAGUCAGGAGACAAAGUGGAGAGGCUUCAGAAGGAGUUGGGUUUUCUAUACACAGAACGUUUUGGAUGGAAUUGUGUGUCUCUGUUCCACCCCAGCUAUGAUGUUACUAUGGAUUUAUAUUGCUGGCCUGGGAUCCAGUCAUUAAUAGCAAUAUGUCGGUCACUGCAAUUGGGCAAGUGAAGCUGCACUGACCAUUAAAGCUAUGAAUGAAUUAUAUUUCUCCCCGCCAGCUCCAAGACUUUCUGCUCGUGUAUAACAAGAUGACCGAGCUGUGUUUGAGCCGCUGCACAAACAUUUACCGCUUGGUAACCAUGGAGGAGGUAUGGCUGCCAGUUUGUGCCACAGCCUGGGGGUGCUGGUUGGCUGCCAGUCCCAGUGUAAGGCUGCUGGGAGUCUGCAUGUGUAGUAGUGUUAAAAUGUAACCAUGGGCGUCUCUUGCCCACCUUCACUGUGUCCCCCUGUAGGAGCAGUGCUUCGGCAGCUGCACAUCCAAACUCAUCCGUGCCAACCCCCAGCUCAUAUCUGCCUAUAUGUGUCUGAUGCCCAGCGUAUGAGGGAAACCAGGGGCUGCCAGUAAUGUGCCCAGCUCAGAACUUCCCAUACAGACUGAGACUGUGCCAGUGCUGAUCAAAUGCCCCCCGUUAUUACUGCUGCUUCUGACUUGGGGUAACUUACCCACAAACAAAGACCAGUAUGAGCAAUUACACCUAAUGCAACUCUCCUACUGCUACUCAGGGGUCGUUCACAUGAACAAUGCCCUUGGCUUCCAUGCUGUGCUUGGGCUUCUACUCUGCAACAGGUUUUCCUGUGACCCCAGUUAUUUCUGGGUGGGGGUUGGCCCAUCCCCAGGGAUCACUAGCUGUGUUAUUGUAAUAAACUUUCAUUUUUAUUCCUGUG